AUAAAAUUUGAUUUGAUUUGCAUUCAACUAAUGUAGAUAAACAACAACAUAUCACAGUCAAAGCAAGUAAGAAGUUUUUGAGAAUGUUGUUGAUGUUCGUCCGGCUACUUGCAAAUGUAUUUUCGUAUUUUAAAAUACAUGUAUUUGAAUUAAAUACAAUACUUUGGUCUUUAGGAUAUUUUGUAGUUGUAUUUUGUCAUUUAUGCUCGUCCUUGUCUGUGUCCUAUUUCCUGUCUAAGGGGAGGAUGUUCUGGCAGGUGUCUGGUCCUGGUGGAUGUGUUGACCAGCAACACCUCAGUGCCCUGCUCCAGGAGCUCAUCCAGGUCCCACGGCAGCCAGGAGAGGUGCCCGCCUUCGGAGGGAGCAACGUGGAGCCCAGCGUGGCCAGCUGCUUUCGCAUGGCUCCUGGGAAAACCUCCAUCCACUUCCUGGAGUGGAUGAGCCUGGAGCUCCAGUCCGUGGUGUGGCUGUCUGUGCUGCAGCGAGUGGUCCAGGCAGAGAACGCCUAACACCAGGCCAAGUGCUCCACCUGGAAACAGUUUCCCAUCAAGAGCUUUAGUCCACAGAUGCUGAGAUACGAUUGUCUCAUGUCCCAUCUGAGACCACCAAAGUGGGGGAUGUACAUCCACACAAUUCCUAGCCAACGCGUCUCCG